UGGGGAAUAUUGCACAAUGGAGGGAACUCUGAUGCAGCGACGCCGCGUGAACGAAGAAGGCUUUCGAGUCGUAAAGUUGUUUUAUAUGGGAAGAUAAUGACGGUACCAUAAGAAAAAGCCCCGGCUAACUACGUGCCAGCAGCCGCGGUAAUACGUAGGGGGCUAGCGUUGUCCGGAAUCACUGGGCGUAAAGGGUUCGCAGGCGGAAAUGCAAGUCAGGUGUAAAAGGCAGUAGCUUAACUACUGUAAGCAUUUGAAACUGCAUAUCUUGAGAAGAGUAGAGGUAAGUGGAAUUUUUAGUGUAGCGGUGAAAUGCGUAGAUAUUAAAAAGAAUACCGGUGGCGAAGGCGACUUACUGGGCUCAUUCUGACGCUGAGGAACGAAAGCGUGGGUAGCAAACAGG
rnacentral:rRNA from 1 species